CCUACGGGAGGCAGCAGUAGGGAAUCUUCCGCAAUGGACGAAAGUCUGACGGAGCAACGCCGCGUGAACGAUGAAGGUCUUCGGAUCGUAAAGUUCUGUUGUUAGGGAAGAACAAGUACCAGAGGAAAUGCUGGUACCUUGACGGUACCUAACCAGAAAGCCACGGCUAACUACGUGCCAGCAGCCGCGGUAAUACGUAGGUGGCAAGCGUUGUCCGGAAUUAUUGGGCGUAAAGCGCGCGCAGGCGGUUCCUUAAGUCUGAUGUGAAAGCCCACAGCUCAACUGUGGAGGGCCAUUGGAAACUGGGGAACUUGAGUACAGAAGAGGAGAGCGGAAUUCCACGUGUAGCGGUGAAAUGCGUAGAUAUGUGGAGGAACACCAGUGGCGAAGGCGGCUCUCUGGUCUGUAACUGACGCUGAGGCGCGAAAGCGUGGGUAG
rnacentral:rRNA from 1 species